GGCGGACGGGUGAGGAAUACAUCGGAAUCUACUCUGUCGUGGGGGAGUAACGUAGGGAAACUUACGCUAAUACCGCAUACGACCUACGGGUGAAAGCAGGGACCUUCGGGCCUUGCGCGAUUGAAUGAGCCGAUGUCGGAUUAGCUAGUUGGCGGGGUAAAGGCCCACCAAGGCGACGAUCCGUAGCUGGUCUGAGAGGAUGAUCAGCCACACUGGAACUGAGACACGGUCCAGACUCCUACGGGAGGCAGCAGCC
rnacentral:rRNA from 1 species